rnacentral:rRNA from 1 species
GCGAGGAAUACUUGGAUAACGUACCCCGGGCACAGGGAUAGCCGUGGGAAACCGCGGAUAAUACCUGAUGAGACCACAGUACCUACGGGCACAGUGGUCAAAGGGUGGGGACCUUCGGGCCUACCGGCCUGGGAGCGGUCCAAGUCCUAUCAGCUUGUUGGUGAGGUAAUGGCUCACCAAGGCAACGACGGGUACCGGGACUGAGAGGUUGACCCGGCGCAUUGGGACUGAGACACUGCCCAGACUCCUACGGGAGGCUGCAGCAACGAAUAUUCCGCAAUGGGCGAAAGCCUGACGGAGCGACGCCGCGUGUAGGAUGAAGUCCCUCGGGAUGUAAACUACUGUCAGGGACCACCAAGCGACCCGGGUAAAUAAUCCGGGAAGUUGAGGAAUCCCAGAGGAAGUCACGGCUAACUUCGUGCCAGCAGCCGCGGUAAGACGAAGGUGGCAAGCGUUGUUCGGAAUCACUGGGCUUAAAGAGCACGUAGGCGGACUGUCAAGCGUCUUGUGAAAGCCCUCGGCUUAACCGGGGAAUUGCUUGGCGAACUGGCAGUCUUGAGGCAGGUAGGGGCAACUGGAACUCUUGGUGGAGCGGUGGAAUGCGUAGAUAUCAAGAGGAACGCCAGAGGCGAAGGCGAGUUGCUGGGCCUGUCCUGACGCUGAGGUGCGAAAGCCAGGGGAGCGAACGGGAUUAGAUACCCCGGUAGUCCUGGCCCUAAACGAUGUCUACUAGGUCGAGGAUUCUCUGACGGAUUCUUGGCCGAAAUGAAAACGAUAAGUAGACCGCCUGGGGAGUACGGUCGCAAGGCUAAAACUCAAAGGAAUUGACGGGGGCUCACACAAGCGGUGGAGCAUGUUGCUUAAUUCGAUGCAACGCGAAGAACCUUAUCCUGGGCUUGACAUGAUUGGAUGCCCUCUGGGAAACCAGAGUAAGCUGCCCUUCGGGGUGAAACUUUCACAGGUGCUGCAUGGCUGUCGUCAGCUCGUGUCGUGAGAUGUUGGGUUAAGUCCCGUA